GACGAACGCUGGCGGCGUGCUUAACACAUGCAAGUCGAACGCUGAAGCUUGGUGCUUGCACUGGGUGGAUGAGUGGCGAACGGGUGAGUAAUACGUGAGUAACCUGCCCUUGACUCUGGGAUAAGCCUGGGAAACUGGGUCUAAUACUGGAUAUGACAUGCCACUGCAUGGUGGUGUGUGGAAAGGGUUUUACUGGUUUUGGAUGGGCUCACGGCCUAUCAGCUUGUUGGUGGGGUAAUGGCCUACCAAGGCGACGACGGGUAGCCGGCCUGAGAGGGUGCCGCGCGCCACGAGGAGGCACAGACGGCACUGACCCGUACGGUAAGCAGCAGUGUGGAAUGUUGCACGGCGGUGGGAAGCCGGGUGGAGCGACGGCGGGUGGGGGAUGCCGGCUUUCGGGUUAGAUACCCAGUGAAGCACGGAAGAAGCGUGAGUGAAGGUACGUGCAGAAGCAGCGCCGGCUAACUACGUGCCAGCGGCGGCGGUAGUGAUGGAACAACACACGUCCUAUC
rnacentral:rRNA from 1 species